AAGAGAAAAGGUUAUUUCCAAGAGAGUUAUUAAAACUCUAAAAUCCGGGGAAAAAAAGAUACUUGCACGCACAGUGACAGACAUGUGGGUGUUUUGUUUGAAUCUACACACCGCAGGCAGGUUAGUUAUCACUUGAAAGACCCCAAUGAGAGAGCCACACAAGUUCGAUGAUCUUUCUCUCAGGCAACAUGGAGGGGCUUUAAAUUAGCGUAACGGACGUUGGAACUGCUUUUUCUUUGGUGAACUGCGUGCCAGUUGAGAUGCAGAUUGGGUAGACGGACUGUGCACGUUCAUGUGUCAGGAGCCAAGGAGCUUCUGCUUGUUGCAGUGGCACCACAGCCCUAGAGUUUGGGGGCCCUGUGGCCCCCAGGGGUGGGGGUUGUUGCCACCUGGUCCUGAUGGGAUUAGCUGACCUGUGGCUAGUACGUCAUCGCAUCUGUUUCCAGUGGACCUUUGGUACACGGUGCCUGCUGGAUGCCUAGCCUGACAGAAUCUGGGCCUCCCUGAUUUUACCCAGCAGGUUGUAUGGCCAUUCAAUUGUCAGGCUGCUAAUCAGGGCUAUAUUUGCGGCAGAAUUUGGACCAAGCCUUGUUCUGAUGUAGCACGCUCCCUGGCGGUGAGGUCGUGGGGUAGAGACCUAGAGCUCUCAGUUACUGGAGGUGACUGCCAUCUCUAAUAACUAUAAACGGCCAGACUGGCUGUGAUGGUUGAAUUGUGUCCCCUUCAACCCCAAAUUCAAAUAGUGAAGUCCUAAGCCCCAGUACCUCAGACUGUGGCCUGAUUUGAAAGACAGGUCUUUAGAGAGGAGUCAGGUUAGAAUGAGGUCGUUAGGGUGGGUCCCUGUCUGGUAUGACUGGUGUUCUCAUACGAAGAGGCAUUUGGACACAGGCUGGCUAGAGGGAAGAGGAUGCGAGGAAGCACGGGGGAAGAUGGCCAUCUAUAGGCCGAGGAGAGAGGCCUGGCAUGGGUGCUUCCCUCGCAGGCCUCAGAAGGAACCAACCUUGGCAACACCUUGAUCUUGGACGUCCAGCCUCCAGAACUGUGAGACAAUACAUUUCUGUCGUUAAGCCACUCUGGCUGUGGUACGUUGUUAUGGCAAAGCCCUAGCAAACUGAUACACCAGCUUAAGUGCAUUUGUAGCAAGGAGAUAUCUGUCAGCUCUGGUCACCAGGCUGGUGACCCUCCUGUCACCCAGGAAGCGCUCCUCUGCCCUUAACCUCAGUCCUCCCCAGGGAGGUGCCAGAGGAGGUCUGACAGCAGCCUUCACCUUUUGUAACCAAGCAAGCUGGCCUCACAAGGCACAGUGGUCUCCGUUACGGCUAGGUUCCUGAGAGUUCCAGGCUUCCUCGACAUGAGCAAGCUGGGCCACAGGGAGAUGCUGCUUUGCUGCUGAGGAACGUGAUGACCCCCAAACAGAGAGUCUAUGCUCACAGCCAUCAUCAAGGACAAUGGAGAGAUCUGGUGUGGCAGCUCCCAGUCUGUAACUCCAGAGGGUCAACAUUCCUAACCCCCUCCCCUGUGACCCACCGGCCUACAUAACUGCUUCCAGAUUCUGUGCCUCCUUAAGAUGGUUCUUUUGGACAUUAGUCAGCCAUCGUCCCUCUUGCUAGCAAGCUGGAAUAAGAUGCCCUUUCUCUGCCGCCAUCUUGCCUCUUGACGAUUGGCUUUUAUCUCACGGUGAGCAGACCGUGCCCUUUGUGCGGUAACAAAUAUUUGAAAAUCUCUUGUCACAAUAUCCCAGGCAGCUAUUGAAAAAUUUUUGGCCAGAGUCUGAAAUGAUGAGUUUGACCUAUUUAUAAAGUUUCUCUUGAUGGCAGUCCCGAGCAUGGAUUGCAGAAGCCCGGGAAGAUCACUAGGGGUCAGUGUCAAUUACCAAGUUUCGGUCUCUGAGCCCCCAGCCCACCCUCCUAGGCGCUGCUUUGUGCUGCUGAGCUGACAAGCCACGUUUCUGCUGUGCCAGAUGGCUCAGUGUUAGACCCUGGCAAUUGGGUUUGCUAGGAGACGGCAGAAGUAGGGUGACCAACUCGUCCCGGUUUGCCCAGGACGUCCCCAGUUUUAGCACUGAAAGUUCUCCCUCCUGUGAACACCCCCCCCCCCCCCCCGCCCCGACCGGAUGGCUGGUCGCCUUAUGUGGAAGGGACUUGCCUGCUGUUCUCGUGAGCACCACCCCAGCAACACGUCUUCACUGUGGCGGCGGCGGCAGCAGCAGCAGCAGCUGAACCCAGCUUGUAGAUUUCUAACACUCACAGACCCAGUUUCAUCAGAAACAUCAGCGCCAGCCGGCUGGUGCCCCUUCCUCAGCAUCUCUGUUCCUCCAGCUCCAGGAGUGAUGGCUGAUGAGGAUCAAGGCUGCCCCAGGGAGAGAAGCCCAAGGCGUCCUGGGCUACACACCAAUCUAUAUCAUCCUCCGGAAGCACAGGAUGUUUUGACCUAAUUGACCUGAUUCAUAUCCAAAGUUAUAGGACCACCCGAUAGCCAGACCCCACCUGCACUGAUACCAUUUUAACAACUUUUUUACAUGAUCUUUCCUUUGUCCUGUAAAGAAAUAAUUCCCAUAUCUACGCCUUAUAAAUUUAGCCCUACCCUUAACACAUUGCAUCCCUUCCCUGCCCAUGGGUCCUGUCCCCAUGCUACUCUCUGAAUAAAGGACCACUACGACCAGACCUUGAGAGCCCAAAAAUCUUUCUUUCGACUCCUCGGCUCACUGAACCCACAUCAGUAGCUGCUUCCUACAGUUGCUACUUCCAUAGAGCUGUGGUUUUCAGAGGGUGGUCCCCAGACCAGCAGCGUCAGCUGGGAACUUGUUAGAAGUGGAGCAUUCCACGCCCCAUCCCAGACCAGUGGGACUCUUGUGUCAGGCUCAGCAGCCUGUGUUUUAACAAGUGUUCCAGGGAAUUCUGCGAUGUUUAAGAACCGCUGCCUUAGAGUCUCACUUUACCCUUUCAUCAUCUAGAUAACUGUGUACCAAGUUGGCAAUUCCAUAUGUCCUAUAAUUCCACUAUUAUGUUCCAUGUGUUGAAUUCUCUCUGUUAAAGUUACUGGCGUGGUUCUUCUCUCCUCCCUGGACCCCGACGGACCCAGAGCCCACUGCAGUUAUACACGGUAGAGAUGAGGACUCUCCAAGCAGAGCAGUGGGAGUGGGGUGGAGAAGAGCUGACAGACAGAAGCUAUUUGAAAGGUCUUGAUUACUGUUUGGGAGGACGGAGGGGGCCAGGACAGCUCCCGGGUCCCGCCUGGUGGAUUGUGGCGCCCCUUCACAAAAUGCAGGCUCUCUAGGAGGAGGGGUGGCGGGCUGGUGGUGGAGGUGAUCUAUUUGCUUUUGCAUUUGGUGAGGUUCCCACUGAGACACUGAGGGGCAGACAUCCCGUAAGCCAUUGGCUACCGGGUCUUGAGCUGAGGAGAGGGGUCUGCAUAGAGAUGCGGCUUUGGGCACGAUCAGCAUCUAGGUGGCAGCAGAAGCCACGGGCCUGGAUGCGUCUACCCAAGGAGACAAGCAGCACGAGAAGAAGACUCAGAAGGGACAGGCGGUGUGGUGGGAGGAGAGCUGGGAGGGUGAGAAGUUACAGAAAGUGAGGGACAAGGGAGGACCAAGAAGGUGGGUCAAGUGGAGCAGAGAAGCCAAGGAGGUGUAUUAAUCUGGUCUUUUUUUUUUUCUGGAUUCUGAUGCUUUGACACCUGGGGCCUUGCUGAUGCUGCAUGGACUGCCCCUGCCAGGACCCGCCAGUUCCAAAGACAGACCCUUGUGAUGACGCUGGGCCAGCAGAAUGAUCCAGAAUAAUCUCCCCGUCUCAAGAUCCUUAACUUCACCACAUCUGCAAUGUCCCUGUUGCCAGACGCUCCAGGGCACCGUACAGUGUGGUUGAAAGCGUGACCUGGCUGAAGUCAAACCCCGGCUCUGACAUUUACCAGGUGUGCAAAGUAUUGAGCAAAGCAUUUCUCUGUCCCUCAGUUUCUUCUUCCGUAUAGCGGGUUAAUAAGAGUACCCGUCCCCUAGGCUUGCUGUGAAGACGAAAUGAAGUGAUAUGUGUAAAAUGCUAAGCACACGCCUAGCAUGCAGUGCUUGCUCAGCAAAAUGAGCGAGGUCUAAGUGUUGUUUCCAGGAAGGUCUGGACUAAUCAUGGAGAUAAGUUCAAGAAUCUGCUUAAUAAACUGAGAGCCCACUUGAUCCUGAUUCUACGUUUCUGGCACAGAGUCUGAGAGAAUAGCGACAAAUAUAACAGAACUCUCUUCCUGUUUGAAAGUCAGCUGUGCCAUCUCGAGUGCGUUACUUCAUGUCUCUGAGGUUUCAGAGUCUUCAGCUGUGAAAUAGGCUAACCCAGCAGUUACCCCCGGAAUUGUGGCAAAGAUGAAGUGCCACCAAGCAUGUAAAGGAGGCAUUAGACAGCGGGAGCAGGAAUGACCAUCGCUCUUGUUAAGAACAAGCGAAAGUGAGCACAAGGGGAGAGCAAGAGAAGAGCUCAGCGUGCUUGGGGACGAGGUGGCACACCUCGUCAUUCCGCAUCCAGAGUAGACAGUCCUUCUGCCAGGGAGCCCCUUCCUUUUUUUCUGUGUCUGGCUCUUUUUCUCUGUCAAGACUCAGAAUUGGUGGCCUCUCCUCCAGGCAGCCUUCCCUGAUAACUUUCCAGUAGGCAGAAAGGCUGAGGGGAUGCUGAGGGUCCCCUUGGAGCACUCAUCUCCAUGGAGCAGGAACUGAGAAUGGUCUAAGAACUGAUAACCAUGGAGGGGCGGGGACGGGGACCCUAACCCCACGGUUCCCAAAAGACACGUGUCCUGGGGACCUUAAUCCUGGUUCCCCCAGGAUCUGGAGCGGUGGUUCUCAAUGUGUGGGCUGGGGACCCUCUCAGUACUAUUUCUAUAAUAAUAUUAGGACUUCUCUGCACCUUUCACUGUCAUUCUUCCAUGAGCACUCAGUGAUGAUGUCCUUGCUCUGCCGGCUAAUGGAAUGUGUGCGUAGGUAUUCUUGUGUGUAUGUUUUUUAAUAAAAGCUUUAUUAAGAUAUAAUUCACAUUUGCCCGUUUAAAGUGUGCUAUCCAAUGAUUGUUAGCAUAUCCACAGAGUUGUGCAACUAUUACCACAAUCAGUUUUUGAAAAUUUUUAUCACCCCAAAAAGAAAUCCCACGCUCAUUGACAAUUAUUCCCUGUUCCACACCCAAUAGCCCCAUGGCAGCAACUAAUCUACUUUCUUCUCUGUAGAUUUGCUUAUUCUGGACG